GGAUUCCAAAUUAGAUUGUCACCUCAUUCUCAACAGGCGUUCAUGAAUUUCCCGGUGGUAAUAAAGAGUCGAAAAGAAAUAACAAAAUUUCAUAAAGGCUUGCACUAGUUCCAAGCUGUGUGGAGACAUCAUGGAAAGGUGGUUCUCCUCAAAAGCUGCCGAGAUGACUACAGAAAACAAAUGGAGAGGAUCUUGACUCUGCCUCCAGCUGUGGCAGCUUUUCCACCUAGAGAGAGGGAGUGGCUGAAGGAUGAUGGCCGUUCCCUUCCCUGCCUCCUCGAAGAGACAUUCACUGCCCGCUCUGUGCUCCCAGUGUCAGAGAAAGGACAGGCCCUUUCCAUACUAAGGUUUUGGCAAGUACUAUCUGAACUUUUAAGAAGCUGAAAGACCCUGCAGGGAUUCUGCUGCCAAAGUUUUUGAGGCAAUCAGACACAUGGCACAGUGGAAGAACAUUGAACUUGAAUUCAUGCCUGCUUAGCCAUUGCCUAGCUCUGUAGCCUCGGGUCCUGUGGACAAAACAGAGAAAAAGAUUGGCUGCCUUCUGGAAGGGGGUCCAGACAGCAACAAGCAAGAAAAAUAUAGGAUCCUAAGAAAUGCUAUUGAACGUCAAUGUCAAUCCAAGUGAUGACUACAGGAGCAUCCUAGAAAUCCAUGGUCUCGACUCAGCAGGGAAAGCUCUGUUUUGCUUCUAAAAGGAACAAGUGGAGAAGCUAAGAAUAGAGGAGGGCCAGCACCGAGGGAUGUUGUCAAGACCAGCUUUAUUGUGCAGGUUUCUUCCCAUGCUCUCAUGCUCUAUUCUGUAUGGCCUCUGAGGCCAAAACAUGGCCUUAAAAAAUAGUCUCAUGAAAUGUCAAAGUUCUAUUAUUUCCUAAAUCCAUCUGGAAAUUUGAGACUGCUUCUAAGUUCUCAUUGUCCUAAGAGAACUGAUGAAUUGAUGAAUGUCUGGUGGGCUGGGUGGGUGUUCUGAAGCUCCCACUCACCAAGCCUUGGCAGGUUCCUAAAAGAUGAAAGGAAAAUAAGGAGGGAGGGAUAUCCUGUUGGUUGCUCCUGUUCUCAAUGGAGAGCUGACCCUGCUUUUGCCUUUUCAUCAACGAGUCCAGUGAGAGUAGUUUUCGGAGCCUAAAGUGCAAGUGAGCACACUCUUGUGAACUGCUAGCUGAGCCUGUAGGGCUGUCUGCUGCUGUCCUUUGUCCAAGGAGGGUUGCCCUUAAGGACUCAUUACCACACGUCCCCUGAGAGUGUCCAACCUCUGCAAACUCACCCUAUUAUUCCCCUGAGAUGGCAUCGUGGGCUGAAUUUUGCCCCCCAAAAGUCAUAUGUUGAAGUCCUAAACCCUAGUAUCUCUGCAUGUGGCGAUAUUUGGAGACAGAGACUUUAAAGAGGUAAUUAAGUUAAAUUGGGUCACUAAGAUGGGUCCGAAUCCAAUGUGACUGGCGUCCUUACAAGAAGACGAGAUUAGGACUGCGGCAACACAGAGAGACAACCCUGGGAGAGACACAGCAGAAGAUGGCCAUCUGCCAGCCAAGGAGAGAGACCUCAGAAGAAACCAAAGCUAUUAACGCCUUGACCUUGGACUUCUAGCCUCCAGAAUUGUGAGAAGACAAAUUUCUGUUGUUUAAGCCCCCCGGUCUGUGGUAUUUGGUUGUGGCAGCCCAAACGAGCCAGUACAGAUGUCCUCUAUUCUUUCUAGUGCCGGAGCAACACAAACUCCCUAGGACGUCCCUCUGGCCCGAAGAGGGAGAGCGAAGAAACCAGAAAAUCCUAGAUGAGUGACAGCUGCUUUCCUGAUUUUUAAGAAGUGUUGAUUCCUUUGUGAGACAAGUUGUUGACCUGAGCUCCAAGUGAAACAGCCUACAGAUAUUGACCAAGCUUCUAGGAUCUCAACAGGACACAAGCCCUGUACUGUAGGAAAGCUGCCUGUGCUGUGAAGCCCACAGCUCAAAGUCCAAAAGACCCUCUUUGAAACCUCAGUUCUGCCACUUUCCAGCUGUGUGAGCUUGAAUUUCUCCCAAUGUGCAACACGGAGAACAAACUUCAGGUAAUUGAGUUCUCCAGAGCUGGUGUCAGGACAGCAGACUUGAAGGUAAAGGAUCCAUCUGAAGCCUGUUCCCGGGAGCCGAGGGAGUGACAGUGAGGCAGCCAUGGGUGAGCACUUGGACUGCAGAAAAUGGGCCAGAAGCCACCCCAUCUCUGCCAAUGAUCUGAGCCUGGUGGAGGUGGGCGGCUGGAACCCCUGAAGAGAAGGCCCUGUCCUCAUGUAACUCAGAUCAGAGGUGCAGUGCAAGACAGAUGUGCACGGGCUGUAGGUGGUAAAAGAACAUACUAUAGGAGGAAGGAUAAUGUCCUGAAAAGAUUUACAGAUUGAGUGCAUAUUUAAGUAUACUAAAAGAUCAUUUUAAAAAUUAUAAAUGCUAGAAACAAGUGCUCUGUAUUUGGCAUGGCAGUUACAUGAAACUUGAGACUGUUUUGCAUAUACAUACUACAACUGUGUGCCAGUGCCUGGACAUAAUGCGUGCUCCAUUAGUAUUUUUGGAAAGGUAAGUGGUGUCAAGAGCAGUGGUCUGGAGUCUGAAGACCUGGAUUCUGAUCCUGAUUUUCAUUAAUUAACUGUGUCACCUCGGGAAAGUCACGUAACUUCUUUCAGUCCCAGGGUUUUCCUCUAUGAAGCACAAGACACAUUGAAUGGUCUUAAGAUCACUUCCUAUUUGAAAUGUCUGUGCUUCUAUUAGUGCUACAAGAGUGGGUCCCUGCACCCUGGUAAGACCAUCCUCUCAAGGAAUCACUGAGAAGAACCACAAAGGCAGAGAAGUGAGUGGGGGUUUUGGAGAAUGGCAGCUACUCUGAUGUGGCUGGAGAAUUGGGCUGAAGAAAGGUGAUACAGGAGGUGAGAACGGAGGAGCAGGGUGGGGCUUGGUCUGAAAAUCAUCACUCACAGUGUGAGGGGUAAAGAGUUGCAGCCAAAGAUGGACCAGAAGUAUUCGAUCUCAUGUGUAAGACAAAUGAAGUCUACAAUAUUGUGCGUAGUGACAUCAUCCAAUGUUUUUAUGAGGCAGUGGAUUUUGACUCUAGCUGCACAUGCUCCGCUAUCUGUUUUGAAAUAGAAGUGCCUGGGUGCCACCUCUAAAGACUCUGGUUCAGUAGAACAGGGGAGGCACUGACCUCAGGAUUAUUUUUAAUCUCCAUGGUGACUCAGGUGCGCGAUGAAAAUCAUUCGUAUGGUGCUUUACAGUUUACACACUUUUCAACGAUAUCCUUCGCUCCUCAGAGUCAAAGUAGAAUUAUCACCAUUUCGCAUGUGAGAAAUUUGAGUCUCAGAGAAAUUACAUCCAUCCAAAUGACAAGUGGCAGCAAGGAGACUCUAAGCCGAUUUCCUGAGCCCAGGUCCAGUGCUUUUUCACGUAGCUCAGCCGCCUAAAAUGAAAACAGGAGUAAGGUGCAUAAGAAUUCAUUCCCCAAUCCAAGAAAAUACUAGAACCAAGCAUGAUUUGAGGUUGGCAAAAGGGUAAAUUUAGGCCCAAUGAAAAAGCACUUCUUUGAAUAUAUUUAAUACAUUCGUGGACCUUUUAACCCAAAGACGUGGUAGAAGAGGAUGAUCAAAUGUUCAAAUGAGAUUUCAAUACAUUUAUAGAUGAAGGAUCCACUCUCUUAGAUAUUGAGAGAAGCACUGUAUCUCCUCAUGUAUUUGUCAGAGACCAAAUGCCAGACUGGUUGUAUUAUGUUAAAGGACAGUCUACAAAUUACAGUCAGACAUUCUCACAGUUUAUAGUCUCAUCUGCCUCAACCUUCGACUGAAAAUUCGAUUAUCCGUGCCCUCAGAAGGAAGGAACAGCACAGAUAAGUGAAGUUCCCACGAAUCAGCUACAAAAUAUGAGGAUGUGGUGAUGAUCCCAUGACCGCAGAAGGACUGGGGCUCCUGGGUGACAUCAGGCAAGCGAGUUAUUACGUGGUUAGCACAGGGAAGGAAAUUCAAUAUUAUCGGACGCCUGCAGCUUGGGAAGCCCUGGGCAGGGCACCGUGCGUCCACCAUCGUAUUUUGUCCUCUUGGGAAUCCCAAAAGGGUAGUAUUAUAAUUAUGCCCUUUUCACAGGGGAGAGAAGUCAGGCUCAGAGAGGUUCAGCAGUAUGCUUAAGGUUGCAGAGCUGCACAUGGUACAAUCCAGAUGGGCCUCUCUCCAAAGCUUGUGGUCUGUCCACUAUUUAUUUUUUCUGCUUUUUCUCCCCAAAUACCCCCAGUACCUAGUUGUAUAUUUUAGUUGUGGGUCCUUCUAGUUGUGGCAUAUGGGACACUGCCUCAACAUGGCCUGACAAGUGGUGCCAUGUCCAUGCCCAGGAUCCGAACCAGCGAAACCCUGGGCCACCAAAGUGGAGCGCUCGAACUUAACCACUUGGCCAUGGGGCCAGCCCCUCUGUCCACUAUCUUAUGUUUUGUACAGCCCACCAAAAGGUGAGGAAAUCGGAUGCAACCUAAUAAGCAAGGAAGUGAGAAGGCUUGCCCACUAUUGGAUGGCUUCAGCCUAUGGAGCUGCGUCUCAGUGGCUGCAGAGCGGUGUGGCUCACAUCAUUAGCAGCAGUCCCAGCGCACCUGCACGAAGAUGGCGCCUCUGAGCUGCUGAGUCAGGGGGCAUCUGCUCCUCACAUCCACAUGCAGGAUGUUCAUCGGGAGCUGGGAGCAGUUCCCCUGCGUGGGGAAUCCUGCCUCGCUUAGUCACCCUGAUAUUGCAUAACAGACGUGGCAUUUCCAACAGCAUGGCACGCUAAUUGUCAAAAAAAUUAAUAAGAGCAAGAAUGUUGGCAGCCAGAUGGCUGUUAAAUAAUUAAACUUCACUGCCUGUUACAAAAGCCAGAGUUCAUAGAAGCUGCUGCCUUAAAUUUUGUGGGGUGCUAAGCACUAAGGAAACACAUGGCGUUACACAUAUAUCGCCCUUAAAUACAACCCCAAAUGAGGGCAACGGAGGUGGUUCAGAGGAUUGGGUGCCAAACCUUUAAUUCUCUCACCUUAACACUGGGAAACCACCCGUGAAGCAUGCAGCUUGGCUGGCACCAGUUAAACCUGCCUGAGCCCCGAAUCCAGUAGACAUAGAGCAUCAAAGUGCACAGAAACCACCACCACCAUCCCUUUCUGACACUGUGGAAGUGGCCUUGUCCUGUGUCCCUCCUUUCUUCACCGCAGUCCAGCCCACUUCCCACCAGCAGCCAGACCCUCUUCUUGAAACAUACAUCUGCUUGUGUUGUGCUCCUGCUCAAAACCUUCCCAUUGUUCUUAGAAUAAAGUUAAAACUCACGUCCACGACCAGCCAGCCUCCUUAGCCUGAUCACACCCCACUCUCCCUCACACCCGUGAAGCUCUGCUUUGUCCUUCUAAGCACACCUGCCUACCUUAGGACCUUGUGACAUGCCACGUCCUUGCCUGAAUCACAACUUUCCUCCUCCCCACCAACCCACCACCUUACCUGGGUUCAUUUCUUUUCACUGAUCAUAUUUCUGCCCACUUGUCACUUUUUCAGAAUAUCUGAAUUAGGUGCCUCCUGCUAUAUUCCCUUAUAGCACCCUACAGUUCCAUUGCUGAGACAAC
rnacentral:lncRNA from 1 species